UUUUAUCAUUUCCGGAUUCCAUUAAUCCUCGUUUAACUGGAACACAAAUAGUUCGAUAAUGACGUGUGGGAUUUUUAGACACGACCGUGAAAUCCUACACCCCCCCGGGUGGGAGGAGGGAUUUUUAUUCUAUAGCGUCAAAUGGAAUAAUAGCACCUGCGUUUUUAUUUAUUUUGAAAUGAAAGGCGAGUCGUCGUCGUCGUUUUUCAUUUUUCUAUAAAAGACGGACGUUUACAUUGGGUCGAGUUUAGUCACAACUUAUCCGGCGUCACUUGCAAGUUGCCCGUCUCUUUCGCCACAUGUGUGCACAGUUUAUGCACUGCCAGAUGCGGGAUUGACGUCAUUCGCCCGUUUUUUGUUCAACCGGAUUGGAUUUCGUCCACUUUUUGAAAGAAAGAAAAAUGGCUGACGGAUGGAUUCCGGCGGACAAUGGAGGAGCCCACAAGGAUCUCAGGAGGAGGAUCUCGAAUUCGGCCCAAAGUUUGAACCGAUUCGUCCGGCUGCCCAAACCCAAAAAGUGUCGAUCGUGGGGCCGUCAGUUGUUGCGACGCUGGUCCAGCAGCGGUGCCAGUCUUUUCGGAGGAUUUUUCGCUUCCACUCCGUCGGCCGGUGGAUCCUGCGGGAGGAGUGACGUGAGGAAUCCGGAUUCUCCUCCUCGGUCGCUGGACGCGGAUGUUUUCGCUUCGCUGUCGUCGGAUUACGUCCACUUUGGGACGGCCACGCCCCCUCCUAAGCCUCCGCGAGUCCGUCGGUGGUCGACAGUCAGCGAUGGAUCCUGCCCAACCGACUGUGAAGGAUCGCUCACUUCUGUGCAGUCGAGCGGAUUACUGCAAGAGGAGGAGGAGGAGCGACGGUUGUUGUUUUUAAGGUUCCAGCUGGCGGCGGGCGCAGCUGGAUGUUGUUCCAGCGUCGAGUUGUCGGUUGGGCCGGCAGAUGGCGUCGGCCAAUCCUCAGGUGCCGUCGCCGACGACGUGGGAGAAGAAAUCCAAGGGGCGGAGUCAUUGCGGACGAGUGGCGAUGAAACGCAUCCAUCCGGUGCGGAUGAAGAAGAUGACGACGACCAGCACGACGACGGCAGCAGCAACGGCCACGACUGGAUCGUCACGAAAAGAAAACUGUUGCGUCCAUUAUCACCGCCGCCGGCCACCUCUCACCACCACACCCACGGUGACUUCCGCUUGGAGGACGCCCGUCUCUUGUGGCUGGGCUGGCGACUAGGCCGUCCGGAGACGAAGCCGGUGAUAUCGGAACGAGAGCGCGGACUAUUGCAACGGGCCAACAGCCUCAAUAUCCACAUCAGUCAGCUGCAACGGAACCAACGGAUCUUGUCCAGCGAGAAUGAGCAAUUGAAACGUCAAAUGGAGAUGGAAAGAGAGCGGCCGGCCGGCCAGCUGCAACGGGAACGUGAGCGUCAGCAAGAGCUGCAACUGCUGCGCAGGAAAAAUGCCGAGCUGGCCAUGCAGACGAAGAAACUGGAAGAGAAAGUCCGCAGUCUGGAAAAGAAAUCGAAGGAGCUGCCGGCCAUCAACGGUGAGCGGACGCAGCAGGUUGUGACCAUGUCCAGGGAGCGGUCGAUUGACAACAAGUUGCAACCUCAAGUCCACCACCAACAACAGCAGCAGCAACAACAAGCGAAACAGACGACAAAUGCGUUGCGCUGGCGUGAAAAGGAAGUUGAAAUGCAAAAUCGCUUGACGGAACGGGAAAAGGAGAUUGGCCGUCUCAAGGAGAAGCUCAGGGACCUGACCAAGAAACUACAACAGGAGCAACAACAUUACAACAGCAAGGAGUCGCUGCAAACGCAACAAAACGGGGUGGAAUGGACCAUCUUGUCUCAGGGUUCCAGGGAACUGGAAGGACUUUUGAAACUCGUCUCUAAAGAGCGACUCCAGCUGGAACGCAAUUUCGUCCUGGCCACUCAGGGAUUGCAGCGAAGUGCCGAGCUUGACGUGACCCGCUACUCGGCCUUGGAGGCGACCAACGUCCAGCUCCGGCGGCAGGUGGAACAGCUGGAACUCUUGUGCAAGGAACAGGCCGAAGCGGCCCAGCAGCUCAGCAAAAGGCAACAGGAUCGAGAAGUGCUGGCCGAGCGACUUAAAGCCAAAACAGAGUACAGUCAAGACUUGGAGAAUCAGCUGAGCAAAGUUAUCGACAAGAACGCCGAAUUGACCAUUGAGAAUUGUGACCUGAAGAAACAAGCCCAGGAGCUGCACCAGUUUGAAACGGAAUGCCAGACGCUUCGUAGCUCGUUGAACACGGUGGAAAGCCAGUGCCAGGCGGCCCAGAGCGAAGUUGCCCAGCUCAAGGAGAAGAUGGCCGGCCUGGAUCAUGUCCUCAGGCAAAUGAGAGAAGCGGCCGAGAAGAAAAAGGAAUUGGAAAAACAACAUGGAGAGUCGGUCAAUGAGUUGCGGACGGCCCAGGCCCAGCUGGGAUUGCUGGCCAGCAACAAGAACACGGAAGUGGAGCGGGCACAACAUUCUCAGAACAUCGAGUCGCUUCAGUCGAGGAUUCGCGAGCUGGAAAGGAAAAUGGAAUUGCAGAACGUGAGACACGAUGAAUUGUUGCUGGAACUGGCGGCCUUGAGACGGAACCAGCACCACCACCACAGCAACAGCAGCGGAGCUGGAAGCAGCCACCACGGCAGCAGUCAGUCACUAGGAGCCACAUUCGAUUUAGAUUCAAGGGGAUCCAGCCCAGAUUCACUGAGGUAUUUAGCCAAUGGUGCUGGAUCGGUGACACGGACAACCCCUCUGGGACAGAGUGCCUCCAAUUUAGACGCUCUCCUCGAAAUGGACUUGGCCGUCUCGAAUUACAACCUGGGCAAGAGCCUUUCGCAGCCGGUGGUUUCGACGUCUUCCAUGUCGAAACUGACGGGCAUCAACAGUGGCGGAUCGUCCAGCAGCAGUAGCCAUCACCACAGCGACAUCGAGCGGAUCAUGGCCAAAAUCGAGCAGGAUAACCGAGUGCUGGCCGAGCUGGAAAAAUCGCGCGCCACAAUCACAGUGUCUCAGGAGAAGGGCAAAACGGUGACGUUUGCCAGCGAUGACAUGGUCCUGCACUACGGCGGCCAGAACCGGCACAGGCGCAAAUCGACGCCGGCCAGCCUCAACCGGACGCCUUUACUCCACCACCACCACCAACAGCAACACCAAAUGAUCCAACAACAACCCCAAUAUCAUCAGCCUUCUGCAACUGCACUUCUACUGCAACAACAACAACAUCAUCAUUUACGCUUUUCUCCGCCCGUCUCUGCCCAUCUCAGGCAUUGGCUAGCGCCGGGCAUUGAAACGAGUAAGAAGAGUUCUGGAUAUUCCAGUCACAACGGGGCGAGCGGAUCGGCCGGCCAGUCGAUGAGUCCGUCUCUGUACGGCAGCACAAGUUCGUCGGUGGGUUUGACGUCGACAUUGACCAAUACGUCGUCCAUGUUUUUCCCGGCCAGCGGAAGCGGCAGCAACACGACGGCCGUCUCGACGGCGGCCGCCGAUUUGGCCCACACGCUGAGCUUAGGCGUUGCCCAGCAGCAGCAACAUCACAAUUCAUCGCUGGUCUCUGGUGGACUGAGAUCGACGCUGACGGCGCCCGGCAGCGGUGGCGGUGGCAGCAUGGCCUCGAUGUUGCAUCCGCCUUUGUCGCCGCUGAGUCUGCCGGCCCUGCCGCUGGACGCUCAUUCGGCCCACUCGCUCCUGCACACGGUGCCGCUGCAUUCGUUCCGCCAUCCGGAGCCCGAGAGCAGCGCCGACAUGCUGGAAAUACCGGGCAAGGGCCGCUGCUACGUCUACCUGGCCAAGUACACGUACGAUCCGUUCAGCCAGUCGCCCAACGACAAUCCGGAAGCGGAAGUCUCGCUGGCCGCCGGCGAUUACGUCCUCGUCUGGGGUACAAUGGAUGAGGACGGAUUUUACGAGGGAGAAUUGCUGGACGGACGCAAAGGUUUGGUCCCUUCGAAUUUCAUCCAGCGGCUGCAGGGUGAGGAUUUGGUGGAAUUCCACCGGGCGGCCGUUCUGGGCCUGCAGAUUUGCGGUGACGACAGCAGCACGACGAGUUUACCUCGUGACCUGCUGGGCGUCAGUCCAAAUCACUUGGCCAGCGUCGGCGGCGGCGGAGUCGGCAACAGCAGCAGAGCCGGCCAUCCGUCUCAUCCGUCGAUUCAUCAACUUCCAUCGCAUCCGCAGCACCAGCAGCAACACCAGCAACUGCAACAACAACAACACCAGCUACAACAACAACAGCAACAACAACAAGGUCUGCCACACCAACAGCCGAUUGCGGCCAACGAGCCCAUCGAUCAAGCGCAUAUGCCAGCGGCUGGAAGCAGUCAGGUGGCCUUUCAUAGUCCGGCCAGUCGCAGUAGGGGCAUCAAUCAGUAUGACGCUGCCCGUCAGGCUCUCGACUGGGGUCUGAUGGAGUUGCAGGAAUUCCUGGAAGACGAGGAGCUGGCCCUAGGAGUCAAAGGAGAAGGACCAGACUGGCUCUUCCUUUCGCUGCUAGUCCCACCACCGCGUCAGCUGACGCUGGAACGCCAAUUGAACAAGUCGAUCCUCAUCGGCUGGAAUCAUCCGGAAGGAGCUCCGCCGGAAUCGGGACAGAUUGCCUCCUAUCAUGUCUACGUCGACGGAAUACUCCGCACCACCAUCCGGGCCGGCGACCGAUGCCGGGCCCUCAUCGAAGGCGUCGAUUCCAGCAAACCGCACCGGAUUAGCGUUCGCUCUGUGACGCUGAGACGCCGGGCCUCGCUGGACGCUGCCUGCACGAUGGUGAUUGGCAAGGAAGUUCCGUCUGCUCCGACUUGCGUCCGUGUGAGUCACGUGACGGCCACAUCGGCCCUGAUUUCCUGGCUGCCGGCCAACUCGAAUUACCAGCACGUCGUCUGCGUCAAUCACGUGGAGGUGCGGACGGUCAAGCCGGGCAUAUUCCGGCACACCAUUUCCGGCCUCUCGCCCAACACCAUCUACCGGGUGACGGUCAAGGCCAAGAACAUCCGCUCGCCGCACUUCAACACGAUGGACGAGACGACGGCCAAGUACGCCGAAAAGUAUUGCACCCACGUCGAGUUCCGCACGUUGCCCAAGGGCGUGCCCGACCCGCCCGUCGACGUCCAGGUCGAGCUGGGCCCCCAGGACGGCACUUUGCUCGUCACCUGGCUGCCCGUCACCAUCAACAGCCAGUCGGGCAAGUCGAACGGCGUCCCCGUCACGGGCUACGCCGUCUACGCCGAUGGACGCAAGGUGACGGAAGUGGACAGCCCAACGGGCGACCACGCCUUACUGGACAUUUCCAGCUUCAUGGGCCUGCAGGCCAAGCACGUGACGGUGCGGACCAAGGCGAGAGAGAGCCAAUCGGGCGACAGCGUGCCCACCCCUGUGCCCAUCGACCUCAUCAAGAACCGCGGCGGCAAUCGGAACGAUGACGUUCAAUGCCCAGUCAAUAACAACGAGAUGGUAGUAGACGAGACGGACGUAGUGGAACAUAGUUUUGGCCCGUCGGAAGACAUAGUAGGCCUGUGGAAUCUCAGUUUGCUGGCCAGCAUCAAGGACACGUUAGAGUCGGACGAACGGCCGUCUGAACUGUCCGACAUUGCCGAAGAGCCGGAAGAGUAUCAGGACUGCAGUAGCGAUGGCGAAAUGAUGAACGAAACGAGCCGGGGCAGCAACAACAUUGGCCGGCGCAAUUUCAUGGAACAAUCCAACAACGGACGAGGCCAGCAGGGCGGCGGUGGCAUGAUCCAGCGCAAUCAGUACCUCAAUCCUUCCAUGCCCGGACCCAUCCCGUCUAUCGAAAUCACCAAGGAUACGGCCAGCGAGCGAUCGGGCGAUAGCUAUCGCGGCCGUGACGGCCAGCAGGGAAUGUACGACCGAAACAAAUCUCUGCCGGCCAACCGCAACCCGCAGAUGGUGGGCGGCCCCAGGAACGUCCAGGGACAGCAGCAGCAGCAGCAGGGACGGGACAACUAUUACGCCUCGACGACGGGCAGGAAUCAGCAGCAGCAGCAGAAUGACGGCUAUUACGAUCAGCCGGGCAACAGACGCGGACCAGUGGCCCGCGGUGGCAACGGCCGCCAGCCGCCCAUGCAGCAGCAGACUAGGAUCUUUGUCGCCCUGUUCGACUACGAUCCGCCCACCAUGUCGCCCAACCCCGACGCCUGCGACGAAGAAUUGCCAUUCCGCGAGGGCCAGCUCAUCAAAGUUCGAGGCGAUAAAGACGCUGAUGGAUUCUAUUGGGGCGAAGUAGCCGGCCGUUCGGGUUACGUACCUUGCAACAUGGUUUCUGAAGUCCAGGUGGACGACGAGCGGGUCGCCCAGGAGCUCCUCAAAGAGUCUGGAGCAGACGGGCCGAGUCAUUCCCGGACCCGGCGCAAUUUGCGAGCUCAGGGCCAGCCGGGCCACGGUCGUGACCGCUGGGGUGACAUUUACGCCAACAUGCCGGUCAAGCGGAUGAUCGCCCUGUACGACUACGACCCGCAGGAAUUGUCGCCCAACGUGGACGCUGAAGUGGAACUGUCCUUCCAGACGGGCGACAUCAUCUACGUUUACGGCGACAUGGACGACGACGGGUUUUACCUGGGCGAGUUGCGCGGCCAGCGCGGGCUGGUCCCUUCCAAUUUCCUGACGGAAGCGCCGCCGGAUUACGACCCGUCUCAACCGCGUCACAAGCGAGGCGGCCAGCAGCAGCAACAGCAGUCGGCCAACAUGAACGACAAGUCUGGCGGAGGCGGACAGAUGAUGCAGGAUCGCGGACGGGAUUCCAGUUAUUACGGCGGAAAUCGCAGCCGGGAACGGAUGGAUCACGAUCGAAUGGAUCCCCGGGAUGGACGGGGCAUGUCCGGCGCCGAAGGUCCCCCACCUCCUCCACGUACGACCAAUCACCGGCCGUCCGACAAUUCCCGCGAUCGUCGCAGCGACGUCUACUCGCCUGAUCGUCACGAGCCUUAUGGGGAGGUCCAUGGCGGCGGUCGGGAGAGAUGGUAACAACCCGAUCAAUAACCAACGCUUCUACGCAGAAGACUCUUUCUCCGACGUCGACGAUAGAUUUAAAGACCGGAUUCGAUGGAUUACGCCUACAACAACGGAAUGGCAGAUCCCAUGCAACAACAACUACAGGGCAUGAAUGGACAACCACAACAGCAACAACAACAACAACCGAAUUUCAACGGUGGAACGGGUGGGCCCAUCCGCAAUUUGCCCAUGAA
rnacentral:misc_RNA from 1 species